UCCGGGAGGCAGCAGCAAGGGAUAUUGUGCAAUGGGCGAAAGCCUGACACAGCGACGCCGCGUGGGGGAAGGAGGCCUUCGGGUUGUAAACCCCUUUUCUCAGGGAAGAAUAAUGACGGUACCUGAGGAAUAAGUCUCGGCU
rnacentral:rRNA from 1 species